GUCUAUGGUCAUACCGCCCUGAAGGUACCCGAUCUCUUCUGAUCUCAGAAACUAAGCAGGGUCAGGCCUGGUUAGCACUUGGAUGGGAGAAGACCACAGCAGAGAAACUGAAUGAUAACUU
rnacentral:rRNA from 1 species